AUGCUCCUGCGUAAGUCCGAGUUCCUUAUCUCUGAGGUGGGGUUGGAACCGGCCUACAUUGCUCGUCUGCCGGUAAUGCUCUGUCUUAGCCUGGAGGGCCGGCUCAGGCCCAGGUACGAUGUUAUAAUGUUUCUAAUGGCAAAUGGAUUGCUCAAGCGCGUCCCCAAGUACUAUCCAAUCUUCAGGGCAACCGAUAAGGCAUUCUUUGAGGCGUAUAUAUACCCUCAUAAGGAAGCUGCACCGCACCUCGCUGAGUACUAUGCCACAGCUUGCCGAGGGGAAGUGCCCACUGGAUUCACAUUGACAGGAACCAAGAAUGGGCUAUGA
rnacentral:rRNA from 1 species